rnacentral:rRNA from 1 species
CCUACGGGAGGCAGCAGUGGGGAAUUUUGGACAAUGGGCGCAAGCCUGAUCCAGCAAUGCCGCGUGAGUGAAGAAGGCCUUCGGGUUGUAAAGCUCUUUUGUCAGGGAAGAAACGGUGGGAGCUAAUAUCUCCCGCUAAUGACGGUACCUGAAGAAUAAGCACCGGCUAACUACGUGCCAGCAGCCGCGGUAAUACGUAGGGUGCAAGCGUUAAUCGGAAUUACUGGGCGUAAAGCGUGCGCAGGCGGUUUUGUAAGUCUGUCGUGAAAGCCCCGGGCUCAACCUGGGAAUUGCGAUGGAGACUGCAAGGCUUGAAUCUGGCAGAGGGGGGUAGAAUUCCACGUGUAGCAGUGAAAUGCGUAGAGAUGUGGAGGAACACCGAUGGCGAAGGCAGCCCCCUGGGUCAAGAUUGACGCUCAUGCACGAAAGCGUGGGGAGCAAACAGGAUUAGAUACCCUGGUAGUCCACGCCCUAAACGAUGUCUACUAGUUGUCGGGUUUUAAUUAACUUGGUAACGCAGCUAACGCGUGAAGUAGACCGCCUGGGGAGUACGGUCGCAAGNUUAAAACGCAAAGGAAUUGACGGCNGAGAGNGACGAGACGACGACGAGGAGGAGG